AGGGUUCGAUUAUGGCUCAGAAUGAACGCUAGCGGCAGGCCUAACACAUGCAAGUCGAGGGGUAACAGGGAGAAGCUUGCUUUUCCGCUGACGACCGGCGCACGGGUGCGUAACGCGUAUACAAUCUGCCUUAUACUGGGGUAUAGCCUUUAGAAAUGAAGAUUAAUCCCCCAUAGUCUCUUAGAGUGGCAUCAUUUUAGGAGUAAAGGUUACGGUAUAAGAUGAGUAUGCGUUCUAUUAGUUUGUUGGUGAGGUAACGGCUCACCAAGGCUACGAUAGAUAGGGGCCCUGAGAGGGGGAUCCCCCACACUGGUACUGAGACACGGACCAGACUCCUACGGGAGGCAGCAGUGAGGAAUAUUGGACAAUGGAGGCAACUCUGAUCCAGCCAUGCCGCGUGUAGGAUGACUGCCCUAUGGGUUGUAAACUACUUUUAUACAGGAAGAAACACCUCUACGUGUAGAGGCUUGACGGUACUGUAAGAAUAAGGAUCGGCUAACUCCGUGCCAGCC
rnacentral:rRNA from 1 species